GUUCAACUCUGAUGGCAUCAUCAUCAUUGUAUUGCUGUGAUCUGAGGAAGAUUUAUGGAUGUUAAAGAUCCUGCAGAUGGAGCUGGAGCUGGAAGAGAAGGAGGAUAUAAUCUCCAGACAGCCUCUUCUGAGCAGAAUGACCAGCAUACGCUAUCUUCUGAGGGAACCUUUGCUGAUCAUACAUGAAAAUGGACUCUGAGGCUUCAUCCCAGCAAAUGAGAAGAGGAAGUUGGAGAUAAGAUAGCCAGAGAUAGCAAGAUCACACAGCUAGGAAUUGGUGUGGCUGGCUUUCCACUACAUAGGUACAGAACUGGGCUCUGAAAAACAACUGUGUGAGAUAAAAUCUUAUAUGCUCCAAGCCUA